GAUCUCGGCUCAAGGGGGUCGGACGCGGCCUCAGUAUUGAUCUCACAAACAGACACGCGCCCGCCGCCCCCCCGCCCCCCGAUCUGCCACCGCCACCGCCACCGCCACCGCCGCCGCCGCCGCCGCCGCCGCCGCCGCCUCUGCCGCCGCUGCCGCCGCUGCUACCACCACCACCAGCCCCGCCGCUUCCUAGCAAGCUCACUGCUGCCCAAAAGCUCCCAGCCAGGGAACUCCACCAGCCUAUUUAUCUGAGCCCCGGGAAAGCUCCGUGACGUAGCUGCCCAUAUAUGGACAGACAAAGCCCAGCCGAAGGGGCGCGACGUCACAAUGGAAGCUCCUCACAAUGGAACAUUAGAAAGCAGGAAGCGGGCCGCAGCCAACGUGCGGCGCCCGCACCGCUCGCGGCUCUUGAAAAAAAGAGAAGGGGAGAAGAAACAAGAAGAAUGCGAGAAGAGAGAGGAAAGAAGGAUACAGCUGCAUGCAAAGCGCAAAGCGCGUAGCGUGGAGUCGAAACACCAGUAACUCAUUGUGUGUGUUUAUUUGAGGUUUGCGUUAGGAGAGCGCAUUGGGGAGAGGUGGGCGGUGGGGUGGGGUUGUUUGCAAGUGGUCUCCAACACCCCAGCAGUUAGAAAGAGAGUUGAAAACAUCUGGCGAAAUCCCUUUGCAGCCCGGGAACUGCUGGGGAACCCGGAAGGCGUGCGUUGCGCCCCUGCUACCUCAGCGGCUCCAGCGUUCGGGAUCCUAUCCGAGAUUAAGAGAAAGGGAGUGCUUCCCUUUGUGGGGGGAAGGAGGGGUGCGCGCAGGGUUGGGGGGGUGUUUCAACUUGUCAGAAUUCCUUGGUCCAAUAUCCCAAGAACUUUUGUGCCAACUUCACUCUGAUUCGCCGCCCCUGCCCCUCCCUGGGCCCCUGACCCGGCGCUGACUCUAGGCUGAGCGCAGUGGCGAGGAGAUUCGGAGCACCCCAGCAGUUGCGCCAAAGACAAGAGCCCCAUCCAUAUGGGGUCGAGGAUGUGCGGUUUUCGUGGUGAAGAGGAAAGAAUGAAGUUGAAGGGAUAGAUAAACACGUGCACUGAAUCCCCAGUAAAUUCCCUAACGGUUCCAAGCAGCCUCUGUGGCCACAGGAUGGCAGGAGGGCCCAGCAGGCCCGGGCGCAGUCGCUGUCUACUGCUGCCUGCGAAGGGCCCGCCAGAGUUCCAGAAGGAGGACGCCGAACCCACAGUCUCUGAGCCACUGGGGGCCUCCCCUAGUCUCUGCCCUCCCCCUCGCCUUCCACAGGGCUGUCCCCAUUGCUGCCUGCCGGCGCUCCGCAGUCAAGGGCGGCCUGUGUGCCGACCCGGAGCGCUUUCACCUCCCGGAGCGGCAGCAGAUCCCGGGGGCGGCUGCUGUGCUCCCUGGGGCCUGCUCCCGAGGCGCGCGCAGCCGGCCCGCGGGCGAGGGGGAGGAGAGGGCGGGAGCAUGGGGGUGCGACCCCAAAUCACAUCGGCUUGGCGGGGGAGGAUUCCCUCCUCGGUGGCCGCGUGGGCGCGGUGAAUCCCUCGUCCCCUCCUGGGGAGUCGGGGUUGGGGGAACGUGCAUUUCUCGGGGGGAGUGGGAGUGUUGACAAGGAAGAAGAGAGGAUCCCCGGGCCUCACGCCGUGGGAGGGCCACGCGGGCCGGGGACGUGUGGGAGGAACUCCCGAGCUGCACGUUGUGGUGGAGGUGGAUGACAACCUCGCUCCCCUCCCCUCCCCUCCACUCAGUGGAGGGCUGGGGACCGGAGGGCCCGGCCUCCCCCCAUCUUCUCCAGUUCUUAGGAAAGGAGGGAUUCCCGCCUCCCGCGAGCCCCCUCUCUCCACCCCCGCCGCCUCUCCCGCCAGGCUCCCCACUCCUAUACUAGGGAGCCACAGCGCCCCCCGGGCUGUCCUCCGCCAGCGCGGCUCAGGGAGGGAGAGCGCUGCAGCGGUCCCGCGCUCCGAUUCCGGUCCCAAGAUUUGCAUAUUUUGGCAUCCAGUGGAAAAGGAAAGAAGAACGGAACCCGCAGCCUUUAAAGGAACCGCACAGGCUGUAGCGUCACCCAGGGAGGCGGUGGGGGUGGGGGUGGGGGCCUGAAAAAUUAGCCAGCGGCUCUGGCCUCUGGCCGUAGAGCCCGGCAGCAGGGAGGGCCAGGGAGGGGCGGCAACCAGCGAGCUUCGGGCGCGCCAGUCCCAGACCUGGCCCCUCCAGAGUGCUUCCUGCUGCGCGUGCACCCGGAGGCUGCGGAGGGUCUCCACGGGUUCCUGCCUGGGGCCGGGAGACGCUGUGGGGUCCGCGGUCCUGGGCGAGCUGCAGGCCCGAAGGCUGCAGUGCCCAUGUCUCCCCGCGCGAGGCAGAGCUCAGCCUGCGGGGGUGGUGGGAAGGAAGUGAGAGGCCUCCGGGCCGCCCAGCUCAACUCCGGAGGACCCCACCGUGAUGCACCCACUUUCCACCUGUCAGGAUCUCUCCCCAGGAGGGGCUGCAGAGUGAGGAGCUAGAAGCCCUUAUCCUGUUCGACUGGGGCCUGAGUUGGGAAAGGCAGAGGCAGUGGAAGCAUUUGGGAUCCUUAAGCUUCCAGGGCCCCAGAGGCUGUGGAGUGCAGCCACUCCCAACUGGAGGAGACGGCCUCUCUCCCAACACUUUUCGGCACGCUGGACUUGUUGCUUCCAAGUAGAAGAGCAUGGGGCAAGGUUUGCUGACCUGCACCAGGGCUUGCUUACCCGUCAGCAAGAUUGGAUAGGAGUCUGGGGACACGAUUCCUUCCCUCUCCUUUCUACUAGUUCUUUGCAUAAAACGGGAGCCUUCAAUUCAAUUAAAGUCUUCAUUAAAGCUUCACUGUGACCUUGGGCAAACGUCUGUUUUUUUUUUCUUAGCCUCAGUUUCCUUGUCUGUAAAUUGGGAUAAU
rnacentral:lncRNA from 1 species